rnacentral:lncRNA from 12 species
AUGCGCUUCAUGAAGUCAGGAGUGAAACAGAUUGUUGAGUUUGGGAGGAUUCUGUCCAAGGCACACCCAUUUCAGUCCCUGUCCACCAGGAGGUGGAGCUUCCUCCCUCAAUCACAUUUCCUGUGUGAAAUGAAGGCUUCCACUGAUCAUUUCUCUGUCACUCCAGCGUUUCUUCAGGUUAAGAAGCAGAAACAUUACUUAAGUGACACUCUAGAGAUGAAGUGUUCUCCAGGGAUCGUGAUUGUCCUAUUCUUAAUGCUUGGACAAACCCAUGGAAACUCAGUGAACCAGACUGAAGGCCAGGUGACCGUCUCAGAAGAGGCUUCCUUCACAAUGAAUUGUACUUACUGAAUGUCAGGGUAUCCUGUCCUUUUCUGGUGUGUCAGUAUCUGGGGAAUGGUCCACAGCUCCUCCUGAAAGCAUCAGGAGACAAGGAGAAGGGAAGUAACAAAGGGUUUGAAGCCACUUUGGACAGUUCAUCCAAAUCCUUCCACUUGAAGAAAGGCUCACUGCAAGUGUCAGACUCAGCUGUGUACUACUGUGUCAUGAGUGACACAGUGACGGGGACUGCAGGGGGAGCUGAGUGCAAACUCUGAGCAGAGCAGGGCCUGGAUGCUGAGCCUCUCUGACUGAUCCACUGGGGUUCUCACGCAGUCAGUGGUUGUUAGUCCCUCAGCAUCUGGUUGAUACAAAGUCAUACAAAAGGCUAGAGCCUAGGAACCAAGAUAAUACUCUCCACCUGACUAUUCACUGGUGACUUUGACAACAGUUUGAUGACCGUUGUUCCUCAGCCAGGGUGUAAACAAUUUCUAGAUAAAGCCAGAUAACAAUGAAGUGGUCUUUUGCUCAUCCUUGCAGUGAAAUUCCAGCCCCACAAGUUGUUCAGCCACUCUGGUGCGUUGACACUUUUAGAGGAACUCAGUGUGCCUGAGAAGGUGGCUUCUGCCCAGUGUGCCUAUGACAGAGUAUGUAUGACAGGAGGGGAAUGGGAGAGCUUUAGCCCCCAAACCAGGUUUUAGGAGAGAAAGAAGGGAAGGGAAGAAAGGAGGAGAAGCGGUAUACCUGAGCAAGGAAAAGAGCGGCCAGGGACCUCUGCCCUGCUUUCUUCUCUAAUAAGUCAGGUGUCAGACAUGGACUGAUAUUCAAAAUGAAGGCAUGGGGACAGAAAUAUAAUGGAGGAAGUGGCUCAUAUCUAAAUCACAAACUGUGCCCCUCAUUCCAUCUUGGUAAGUACAUAAAUCAUUAACCUACUAACAAGAAGGCCUUGAGUGAGAUGGUCUUCCAGUGCCAAGGGAAGUUGUGGCAUAUAUAUUCCUCUCUGUACCCCUUGAAGCUCUGUUAAAAAGAUGGUAGGGAAUUGUAAAGGGCAUAAACUUAAAAAGAGAACAGAAAAAGAUGAUAACAGAGAGUGAUAUUAGAAAAAUUUUAGAGGGUGAGCUGUAUGUAUAUGGAGCAAUAUGGAGCAAUGCAAACUUGUUAAGCAGACCAAAUAAAGAAUAACGAAGUAGCA